UACGGGGGGAGCAAGCGUUGUUCGGACUUACUGGGCGUAAAGGGCGCGUAGGCGGUCACGACAAGUCAGUUGUGAAAUCUCCGAGCUUAACUCGGAAAGGUCAACUGAUACUGUGCGGCUAGAGUGCGGAAGGGGCAACUGGAAUUCUUGGUGUAGCGGUGAAAUGCGUAGAUAUCAAGAGGAACACCUGCGGCGAAGGCGGGUUGCUGGGCCGACACUGACGCUGAUGCGCGAAAGCCAGGGGAGCGAACGGG
rnacentral:rRNA from 1 species